rnacentral:misc_RNA from 1 species
GCUCCGUUGGUGAACCAGCGGAGGGAUCAUUACCGAGUUUCAGCAACUCCCAACCCUUGCGAACCGUACCCCUGUCUGUUCUCGUUGCUUCCGGCAGGCGGGGGGGGCCACCUGGCCCCUCCCCCUGCCGGGGGCGGCGGGCCCUAUGAACCUUUAUAUCUCAACCACUGAAGCCCGUCUGAGCAAAACAAAAAAUAAUCAAAACUUUCAACAACGGAUCUCUUGGCUCUG